ACCCCUAAUUUUUCCCCCUCUUCUUCGUGGUCUAUGAGGAUUUCGCUUCUUCACCCUUUUCAAACUCAUUUCUUUCUCCUUUCGUUCUUUUUCUCGGAUCUUCUUUCUCCCUCUCUCCAAAGUUCUUCAAUCCUUUCCGUCUCCAAAGCUCUCCAAAGUUAGCUACAUACGAUUCGAUUAGAAACUGGAUAUUGCAAGUUUUUUUAGGGUUUCAUUUAAUCAAAGGCCAUUGAAGGAGGACGAUUUAAUGGCGGCAGCGACGGCGCAAGGGAUGGACCCAGCGGUACUAGACAAUAUAAUCAGAUGGCCGACGGAAGUCCGGUCAGCCAAGCCAGUGAAACAAGUGCAAUUAUCUGAAUCUGAGAUCAAACAGCUUUGUGUUGCUUCGAAAGAUAUCUUCGUUCAACAACCUAAUUUACUUGAACUCGAAGCACCCAUCAAAAUUUGCGGUGACAUACAUGGGCAAUAUAGUGACUUACUAAGGCUGUUCGAGUAUGGGGGUUUUCCUCCUCAUGCUAAUUAUUUUCUGGUUCAGUAGCAGCAAAUGAUGCCAAUGUGGCUGAGAUUGGUGCGGUGAAGAUUGCUCUGUAAGUAUUUUUUAGCUAUGAACUGGAAGAUUAAUGAUUCUUUAUUUAUUGAACUUGGUUCUUUAAUUAUGUCCCAAAAAACAUCUCUAUUGGCCUGCUCAAAUUUCACUAUCUUUUCUAUUCAAAUUUUGGAUGAGUGCCCUCGUACAGGGACAAUGAUUGUUCACUGGAUAAAAAAGGUAGGUGAGAUGAAUGGUUUGUAUAAUAUUUUUUACUGAUUUUUUUUGGAGUAAUAAGCUUUAAAGCAUUUAAGAUACCUUUUUAUUUUAAUAUUUCCAUUGAUUUGCUAGAUACCUUUUUAAUAUAAUAUUUCAAUUGAAGCUAUUGAAGAGAAAAGAAAGUUAUACAAUUCUCAGAUAACAUCGUUAUCAGAAAAAUUGUCUGAGGUAAGAGUCUUAUGUUUAUCAUUGGAGAUUUUAGAACUUUAAUUGAAUUAUUGAAAAUGGCUUAAUUUUUAAUUUUGCAAGUUUUUGUUGAUCAGCAAUUUAUUUAUUUUCUGUGUGUAGUAUUUUUCUAUAUUUUUUUUAUCUUUCAUCAUGCUAUCCCUUGCACCGCAGUUAACAAAUUGCUUGUGGAAUUUGUGAUUUGCCAUAUCUUUUUCGAUCUCAUUUUGUGUCUUCCAUAACUGGAAUUGUUAUAAUACUUCUUAUCUUGUGUGGAAGACUGCAAAGGUCUCAGUCUCUUUAAUUCGUUAUCUUAUUUGAUCAGGUGCUAUUAACAGAUUCACAGAAUAUCAAGGUCACUCUCUCUCUCUCAUAUGUGAUUCUAUAGUUUGACUCUGGUGACUCAUAAUCUUGUGUGCUCUUUGAACAGGAAGUUCUUCUCUUCCCAGCCAUGAAAUCUCAGGAUGAACCAUCCACUAAAGGUUAAUUACUUCCAUUUCACACCUUCCAUUUCCCCUAAUUUCUUGAUUCUUUUUGAACUCCGAGUUUGAAUCUUGAAAUAUUGUUUGGGUUUCAUGUUUGGCUUGACCAGUGGCAUACAGUAUUCUACUAGUACUACACAUGCAAUAUCUACAAAGCUGGCUCCUAUAUUUUUUGCUUUGUCUGAGUCUGAUUAUUUUUCAUGUUUUAUUGAAUUUCUAGCAUAACACGUGAUAGUUUCAUUGUUUUAGCAGCUCCAGCAACUUAGGGAGUUGAACCUGCCGAAAUCUAACUCAUCGCCUUGAUCUACUAUGUUUGCUGUAAACCAGUGGUGAGAUCUGUCAAGUUUUUGGCGUCGAUUUUGUCUUGAAAGAAUAUUGCAGUUGACAUUCAACCCUCUUAUGUAUUUGCUAGUAUAGAUGGGUGUUUUAUCAUACACGCUAGAAGUCACGUCGCCUCCAUCCAUUGUUUAUGAUUACCUUAACUGAAUAUAAUAUAGUCAUGUCUCAUGUGGAAUGGAACCAAAAUUGAAUUCAGAACUGUGUGGAGGUGUAGUCAGGCAUUUUUCUUAGUUAAGUUGCAGCAAAUAUUUUCUGCUAUUGGGAUGUGAUUUAGAAUGGAAAUUUCUUUUUAGAAUUUUAUUUGGCUAUUACGCUUGUUUUGCUGUCUAACGAGAAGGAAGAGAGUAUUUUAGAAAACAUUGAAAAGAAUUUAAUCUCCCCUAUUCUUAUUGAAAAUGACCUUGAUAUUCUGUGAAUCUGUUAAUAGCAUAGCUAGCCUAAAAGUUUAAGUUAUUAUAUUAGUGCCUUUAUUUUGUUAUUUUUGGUUCUAAUGUCCACUUUUGCCCUUAGCUGUCUUUAUAGUUUUAUGAUCUAUUAGUUCCUCUAUUUUUUAUAUGAUAAGAGUUGCCACAUGAUUUGCUAUCUUGCUUCUAUGGGAUUUCAAGAAAAAUAUGUUGUUGAAUGUACUUGCUCUUUUAGGUUCGUACUUUAUUAUUAUGGUUAUGUUUUUUAUUCCGACUCUUUAUGAUUUAAGUACCAGUGUCCGGAACCCAUGGAUGUGGGAGAACUUGGAAAAAAAUUGAACAUACUCAUCUCAGACAUGCCUUCAUACCCAUAUCUGACAUGUCUUUAUACUGACACCUAACACUCAUACCUAAGUCCGAGUAACAUGUUUCUUUUCUUUUUCAAGUUCUAAAUUGUUUAACAAUAGGUUCUUUGUUUUCUUAGGUAGGGAUGAUGAAGAUGAUUUUGUUGCCAAGAUGAAGGCAGCUGAGGAAGCCUUGGAAGCAAAACAAAAAGUAACAAAUAGCUUGUCUACUACCUGUUCUUUUUCUUUUUAUCAUGUUUUAUAAUUUUGUGACAAAUUGUUCUUGGUACACUGAAGAUAUUUAUGGAAAAUUACCCUAUGAUUCUAUUGUAUUUA